rnacentral:rRNA from 1 species
GACGAACGCUGGCGGCGUGCUUAACACAUGCCAGUCGAACGGAAAGGCCCUGCUUUUGUGGGGUGCUCGAGUGGCGAACGGGUGAGUAACACGUGAGUAACCUGCCCUUGACUUUGGGAUAACUUCAGGAAACUGGGGCUAAUACCGGAUAGGAGCUCCUGCUGCAUGGGGGGGGUUGGAAAGUUUCGGCGGUUGGGGAUGGACUCGCGGCUUAUCAGCUUGUUGGUGGGGUAGUGGCUUACCAAGGCUUUGAGGGAUAGCCGGCCCGAGAGGGUGACCGGCCACCUGGGGACUGAGAUACGGACCAGACUCCUACGGGAGGCAGCAGUGGAGAAUAUUGCACAAUGGGCGGAAGCCUGAUGCAGCAACGCCGCGUGCGGGAUGACGGCCUUCGGGUUGUAAACCGCUUUCGCCUGUGACGAAGCGUGAGUGACGGUAAUGGGUAAAGAAGCACCGGCUAACUACGUG